GACGAACGCUGGCGGCGUGCUUAACACAUGCAAGUCGAACGGAAAGGCCCUGCUUUUGUGGGGUGCUCGAGUGGCGAACGGGUGAGUAACACGUGAGUAACCUGCCCUUGACUUUGGGAUAACUUCAGGAAACUGGGGCUAAUACCGGAUAGGAGCUCCUGCUGCAUGGUGGGGGUUGGAAAGUUUCGGCGGUUGGGGAUGGACUCGCGGCUUAUCAGCUUGUUGGUGGGGUAGUGGCUUACCAAGGCUUUGACGGGUAGCCGGCCUGAGAGGGUGACCGGCCACAUUGGGACUGCGAUACGGCCCAGACGCCUACGGGAGGCAGCAGUGGGGAAUAUUGCGCAAUGGGCGGAAGCCUGAUGCGGCAACGCCGCGUGCGGGAUGACGGCCUUCGGGUUGUAAACCGCUUUCGCCGGUGACGAAGCGUGAGUGACGGUAAUGGGUAAAGAAGCACCGGCUAACUACGUG
rnacentral:rRNA from 1 species